rnacentral:rRNA from 1 species
AUGGUUCCUGAAAACUGCUAUGUUACUAUCAAUGUUCAGCGUGGUUCUUUUUUCCUCCUUUUCUGGGCCCUGAUGAAUCGGCAAUGGAUGUACGGUAACCGACUCUCCCGCGAGUUCACUACGGGUUUGAAAGAUUUCCUCAUAGUGGCUAAUGCGAACAAGCAGAAGGGUUUUGUUAUCUGUCCAUGUGUUGACUGUAAGAAUCAGAAGGGUUACUCUUCCUCAAGAGAAGUUCACCUGCACCUGCUUCGGCACGGUUUCAUGCCAAGCUAUAAUUGUUGGACCAAGCAUGGAGAAAGAGGGGUUAUAAUGGAAGAAGAUGAAGAAGGGGAUGAUUUCAUCGAUGAAAGCUAUCUUGCUCAUUUCGGUGAUACUUUCAUGGAGGAUGCUGAAGGUGAAGGGGAAGGUGAAGGUGAAGAAGAGGCACGUGAUGAGACCGUUGAUGAUCUUGGUCGGACCAUUGCUGAUGCACGGAGACGCUGCGAAACUGAAAAGGAGAGGGAGAAUUUGGAUCGCAUGUUAGAGGAUCACAGAAAGUCGUUGUACCCCGAAUGCGAUGAUGGUCUGGAAAAGCUGGGCUGCACACUGGAUUUGCUGAAAUGGAAGGCACAGGCAGGUGUAGCUGACUCGGCAUUUGAAAACUUGCUGAAAAUGUUGAAGAAUAUGUUUCCAAAGAAUAAUGAGUUGCCCGCCAGUACGUACGAAGCAAAAAAGGUUGUCUGCCCUCUAGGUUUAGAGGUUCUGAAGAUACAUGCAUGCAUCAACGACUGCAUCCUCUACCGCGGUGAAUACGAGAAUUUGAAUGAAUGCCCGGUAUGCAUUGCAUUGCGUUAUAAGAUCAGAGGCGAUGACCCUGGUGACGAUGUUGAGGGCGAGAAACCCAGGAAGAGGGUUCCCGCCAAGGUGAUGUGGUAUGCUCCUAUAAUACCACGGUUGAAACGUCUGUUCAGGAACAAAGAGCAUGCCAAGUUGUUGCGAUGGCACAAAGAGGACCGUAAGUCAGACGGGGAGUUGAGACACACCGCAGAUGGAACGCAAUGUAGAAAGAUCGACAGAGAGUUCAAAGAUUUUGCAGCUGACGCAAGGAACAUAAGAUUUGGUCUAAGUACAGAUGGCAUGAAUCCUUUUGGCGAGCAGAGCUCCAGCCAUAGCACCUGGCCCGUGACUCUAUGCAUCUACAACCUUCCUCCUUGGUUGUGCAUGAAGCGGAAGUUCAUUAUGAUGCCAGUGCUCAUCCAAGGUCCGAAGCAACCCGGCAACGACAUCGAUGUGUACCUAAGGCCAUUAGUUGAUGAACUUUUACAGCUGUGGGGCAGACCUGGUGUCCGUGUGUGGGAUGAGCACAAAAAAGAGGAAUUUAACCUACGAGCGUUGCUUUUCCUAACCAUCAACGAUUGGCCUGCUCUUAGUAACCUUUCGGGACUGUCAAAUAAGGGAUACAAUGCAUGCACGCACUGCUUACAUGAGACUGAAAGUGUACAUUUGCCAAAUUGUAAGAAGAACGUGUACCUUGGGCAUCGUCGAUUUCUUCCGAAAAUUCAUCUAGUAAGAAAGAAAGGAAAGCAUUACAACGGCAAGGCAGAUCACCGGCCGAAGCCUGCGGAACGCACUGGUGCUGAGGUAUUUGUUAUGGUCAAGGAUUUGAAAGUCAUCUUUGGAAAGGGUCCUGGCGGACAAUCAGUUCCGAAGGGAGCUGACGGGCACGCAGCCAUGUGGAAGAAGAAAUCUAUAUUC